rnacentral:rRNA from 1 species
GAUGAACGCUGGCGGCGUGCCUAAUACAUGCAAGUCGAACGAAGAUCUAGCUUGCUAGAUCGUAGUGGCGAACGGGGGAGUAAUACAUAAAUAAUCUGCCCAUAUGACUGGGAUAACCAGUGGAAACGAUAGAUAACAACGGCUAGAUUGAUUGGAUGCAUCUCUGAUUAAUUAAAGAAGGAUUUCUACACCAAUGGAUGAGUUUAUGGAGCAGUAGUUAGUUGGUGGGGUAAAGGCAUAACAAGACGAUGAUGCGUAGCCGACCUGAGAGGGUGACCGGCCACACUGGGACGGGGACACGGCACAGACUCCUACGGGAGGCAGCAGUAGGGAAGUUUCGGCAAUGGGCGCAAGCCUGACCGAGCAACGCCGCGUGAGUGAUUAAGGCCUUCGGGUUGUAAAGCUCUGUUGUAAGGGAAGAACAGUCAGGAUAGGAAAUGAUCAUGAACUGACGGUACCUUACCAGAAAGCCACGGCUAACUACGUGCCAGCCGCCGCCGUAA